rnacentral:rRNA from 1 species
GCUACGGGGUGCAGCAGUGGGGAAUAUUGCACAAUGGGGGAAACCCUGAUGCAGCGACGCCGCGUGAGCGAUGAAGUAUUUCGAUAUGUAAAGCUCUAUCAGCAGGGAAGAAAAUGACGGUACCUGACUAAGAAGCCCCGGCUAACUACGUCCCAGCAGCCGAGGUAAUACGUAGGGAGCCAGCGUUAUCCGGAUUUACUGGGUGUAAAGGGAGCGUAGACGGCGGGGCAAGCCAGAUGUGAAAGCCUGGGGCUCAACCCCGGGACUGCAUUUGGAACUGGGCUGCUAGAGUGUCGGUGAGGCAGGCGGAAUUCCUAGUGUAGCGGUGAAAUGCGUAGAUAUUAGGAGGAACACCAGUGGCGAAGGCGGCCUGCUGGACGAUGACUGACGUUGAGGCUCGAAAGCGUGGGGAGCAAACAGGAUUAGAUACCCCUGUAGUC